UAUUGACAAACAAGCCAUGCAUCGAUCAGAUUAUUCAAAAAAAUAUUCUGCACCAGAAAGAGAAACUACUUGAGCACUGAAUUCCCCGCCCAGGCGGCCCAGGAAUUCCGACUUGCCCAGAGCUUCCUGGUUCUCCCUGUACACAGUCACAAUUCAAAGAAAUGUUUUUCUUCAUCACAGGCCCCACAGGCCCCACGGAUCCUGGCAGCCCCCUAGGACCCCUGUCUCCUCGGUCCCCCUGUGCACAGAAGAA